GCAAAUAUUAGUGACACUGCGUCAUUCUGCGCAAUGCCGUCGCAAACUAUUGUGGAUAUUACAGAAGUGUCCUCAUCCAGGGUUGGAUAUUGGAGCUGAUACCUCACUAAUAACUCUUUGUUCAGUAAAGUGUGAUUUUCUACUAGCUUGUGCCGAGUUUAAUUAAAAAUUUUAUAAUAUUAAAAAAUAAUUAUAUUUCCUGCUAAUAGAAAAAAUCGUUUAAGCAGCACAAAAUAGAUUUAUAGGAAAUAAAACGGAUACCAAAAUUUGAGAAUUAAUGAUCAACAGGAAUUAAUGCUGUACUUAUGAACGAAACUAAAUAACGGGAUCAAUGGUGCUAAAGUCAUAAAAUUGGCAACGUUUAACCUACUUUACUGCUAAAACAACAAAUAAGCAAAAGGAACAAUGACAAGCAUUUUAAACGUCGGCGGAGGUGACUAUUUAUAAUCCAUUGCAAAAUUCAUACAUUUCAACACAGUUGGUGUAUGUGUGUGCUGCACUCGUCCGAAGGCGUUGGAAAACCCGCUGACAUUGGAAAAUUUCUUCUUGCUGUGCUGCUACGCUCUGCAUGUCGUAAUGAUUUGUUUCAUACAAGAGAAGUUGCCAUCAGCUGCCGGCUCCCAACCAAACAUGUGCGCUCAGAUCGCUUUCAUCGGAACCGAACCAUUGGCAACGGGUGGCUUUGUAAAAGGAACAGUAGAAAUACUGAGAAAUAGCCCUUUAUGCCUUCAUAGCCGGGACAUUAGUCAGCAUAAUUAGUUCCGCAAAUUAUUUAACGUUGACGAUCUUCCUUUAAGCAUUGGCAAGAAGACAUACACGCAUACAUGGUUUUUUAUUCACAAUUCCAUGCGAAGUUCCUUUUCAGAUGGGUUCAACACAAGUCUGCAAAGGUUUCACUCUUUAGACCUUAAAAGAUUAGAAACCAACCACAUACGCACACAUGUAGGUUAGAAGAUGGAACAAAACCAUAGUAAGGUGCAUUGUCUAUAAGUACAAAGUAAUGGUUUAUGUGACAACAUUAUGUUCUACAUCCACCCUGUAGAUCCGAAUUUGUUUUGACGUUUUUGGUGACAAAUUCGGUUCUAGAGAGGUUUGUGUGGUUCUAAAUACAACGAAGAAUUGGUUAUGUGAAAACAUAGGAAUCAAGAGAAAACAAUGCAGAAAACAUUAACGUAUGU